UGCUGUUAACUUGGUGGCUAUCUUCAGC
rnacentral:piRNA from 1 species